rnacentral:rRNA from 1 species
AGCGAACGCUGGCGGCAGGCUUAACACAUGCAAGUCGAACGGGCGUAGCAAUACGUCAAUGGCAGACGGGUGAGUAACGCGUGGGAACGUACCUUUUGGUUCGGAACAACACAGGGAAACUUGUGCUAAUACCGGAUAAGCCCUUACGGGGAAAGAUUUAUCGCCGAAAGAUCGGCCCGCGUCUGAUUAGCUAGUUGGUGAGGUAACGGCUCACCAAGGCGACGAUCAGUAGCUGGUCUGAGAGGAUGAUCAGCCACAUUGGGACUGAGACACGGCCCAAACUCCUACGGGAGGCAGUAGUGGGGAAUAUUGGACAAUGGGCGCAAGCCUGAUCCAGCCAUGCCGCGUGAGUGAUGAAGGCCCUAGGGUUGUAAAGCUCUUUUGUGCGGGAAGAUAAUGACGGUACCGCAAGAAUAAGCCCCGGCUAACUUCGUG